rnacentral:lncRNA from 1 species
UGCCAUCUCUCCAUGUGUGCCUGGCUCUUUCUUUCUUUGCCUGACAUUCUAUUUGCAAUGUUUUGGAAGGAGAAUCUGAGGCCAGAAUGAUGGCUCCUCCAGAGAGGGUGAGCCCGAGUGCCAGCAGCUUGGAGGGGCAGGGCGGCGGCUCUGGUGUCCUGCGGUUUGCGUGGGCUCUCUCUGCACUUACAGUCACAAAAAGACAGUAUCUCAGGCAGGAAUUCUCGCAGGGUGCAUGCUUCUCUUUUGACAGUUUAAUGUCACGCAUGGGUUCCUUUGUAAACAUCAGAUCAAUAGCAGAGUUCCAAAUUAAAACAUUAGGAUAAGAAGCCCAUGUUGAUUCAUCCGUCCCUGGAAUGGCCUAGAAGACGGGGCACCUGGUGUUCGGGGAUGCGUCUGUCUCAGGCCGGUCUCCAUGGGUCAGGUAGCCUAGGGUGGGAGGAGGAGGGCGGCGGGCAGCCUAGCGUGGGAGGAGGAGGGCGGCGGGCAGCCCCACAGCCGGGAUCCAGGAGAAAGGAAGGGCCACUCACUUUCUCUUCUUCACAAAGUCCUGGGAACGCAGGGAGGGGAGACGGGGUCUCGCUCUAAAAGGCAGCUUUGUAGCCAAACUGCUCCCUCCAGGCAGGAAGAGAAUCCCCGCUCAGAAGAAAGGUGGGCCACCCCUGAUGACGGCAGGUGGCCCCAAGUGUUUGGAUGCGGUGGGCCCCACUGGUUUGGGCCUAACCUCAAGCGGCUGCUAAUGGUUCCAUGAUACUUUUCCCGCUAACACUUCACAGAGAUGUCUGACUGAUGUCCACUGCUCAGCCGCACCCCCUGAGCUGGUGAGCAUUCAGGCAGAGCACCCACCUCUACUUUUCUCACCCCUAAAAUCAGAGACUGGUUCUAAGCUGGUGCAGCCACCGCCCCUGCGUGCCGGAUGCAGGACUUUCCCUGCCAACACUGGACAGUCCCAGCAAAGCAGACGGUGGGUCGCUCUGUAUCUCUGAAGAACAGCUGGGCCUGCGUGUGUCAUUCUCAGGCAUCUGGCCCAGGCCUUCUCCUCCAGGAAGGUGGGGAGGGGCUGCUCGGCUCCGGGCACUGCCAGGGGCCGUGGGCCCCACAUCCUUUCCAGGCUGUUCCGCAGCAUCUGCCUUCAUACUCACAGCCACCGCGGCGUGCGUCCCAGGGGUUCUCAGAAUAGAAUUCUGUGCCUCUCUCGCCUCUGGAAGUGACCGUGCUCUGUAGGAAAAUAUCACAGCACGCCGGCCUCAAAAGGCCAUGACGUGGCUCCAAACGCUAGAGACUGCUAGCAAUUUGCAAGUUUACGUGAAAAGCUUUGUGAUUUUCCAACACCCUGAGUAGUUCUAGCCAAAAUGCGUGAUUGGCCUCACACUAGACGCUUGCUGUAAUUGUGUCUCUGUAUUAAAUUGACCGUCCUUUGGAGCUUCAGAAUGGACCAGGAGGAAAAGGUAAAUACCAAGCUCGCUACAACCUCAGAGGCAUCAACGCCCUCCUGCUACAGACGCAUCUGUUCUCACCUGGCUCCUGCCAGCUGCCCUGGGAGAGGCCACAAAAUGCCCUCCAUGGACAGAAGACCUGAGAACCUUCGGGGCUCCUGCUGUCACUCACUGUGUUGAAGAACCGCCCGGUCAGCACGCUGGGCCCUAUACACAUACACACACGGCUCUGCGGAGGACGAGGAAGGGCCGUCAGAUGAGACUUCACCGUGAAAAAUGUGCAGAGACACAACAAUCUCGCUGAAUGAAAACUACAGACUCUAAUUUAUAAAAACUGUCUGUUUCAAAAGCCCCAAAUGUUUACAUUCUCCGAUUCAUCAUUCCUUCUUCUAAUUUAUUUUAGGAAAUAAUGCAAAGUACUCACAAAAAAAAUUUAUACAGAAAGAUGUUCAUUGCAGAAUUCAUUAUAAUAAAGAAAACCUGAG